rnacentral:rRNA from 1 species
AGCUAGUUGGUAGGGCAAUGGCCUACCAAGGCAAUUAUCAGUAGCUGUUCUUAGAGGAAGACCAGCCAGACAGGGACUGAGACACGGCCCUGACUCCUACGGGAGGCAGCAGCAAGGAAUUUUGCGCAAUGGGCGAAAGCCUGACGCAGCGACGCCGCGUGAGGGAUGAAGGCCUUCGGGUCGUAAACCUCUUUUCCUGGGGAAGAAUAAUGACGGUACCCAGGGAAUAAGUCUUGGCUAACUACGUGCCAGCAGCCGCGGUAAUACGUAGGAGGCAAACGUUAUUCGGAUUUACUGGGCGUAAAGCGGGUGUAGACGGCUUCUUAAGUCAGUUGUGAAAUCUCCCGACUUAAUUGGGAGGAGUCAAUUGAUACUGAGAGGCUUGAGGGCAGCAGAAGAAAGCGGAAUUCCCGGUGUAGCGGUGAUAUGCGUAGAUAUCGGGAGGAAUACCAGUGGCGAAGGCGGCUUUCUAGGUUGUUCCUGACGUUGAUGCCCAAAAGCGUGGGGAGCGAAACGGAUUAGAUACCCGUGUAGUCCACGCCCUAAACUUUGAACACUAGGUAUGGUGAGUAUCGACCCUCUUCGUGCCGAAGCUAACGCUUUAAGUGUUCCGCCUGGGGACUACGGUCGCAAGACUAAAACUCAAAGGAAUUGACGGGGGCCCGCACAAGCAGCGGAGCGUGUGGUUUAAUUCGAUGCAACGCGAAGAACCUUACCAAGGCUUGACAUACAAGAUGUAGAAACCUGAAAGGGCGACGACCGGUAUCCAAUCCGGAGCUUGAACAGGUGCUGCAUGGCUGUCGUCAGCUCGUGCCGUGGGGUGUUAGGUUAAGUCCUGCAACGAGCGCAACCCUUGUCGCUAGUUAAAUUUUCUCUAGCGAGACUGCCCUUUAAUGUGGAGGAAGGUGAGGAUGACGUCAAGUCAGCAUGGCCUUUAUGCCUUGGGCUACACACACGCUACAAUGGGUGAUACAACAGGUUGCUAAGAAGCGAUUUAGAGCUAAUCCCCAAAAUCAUCCUCAGUUCAGAUUGUAGGCUGAAACUGCCUACAUGAAGGCGGAGUUGCUAGUAACCGCAGGUCAGCACACUGCGGUGAAUACGUUCUCGGGCCUUGUACACACCGCCCGUCACGUCAUGGAAGUCGAUAACACCUGAAGUCAAUAGGCUAACCUUAUCGAGGCAGUUGCCGAGGGUGGGAUCGAUGACUGGGACGAAGUCGUAACAAGGUAGCCGUACGGGAACGUGCGGCUG